rnacentral:tRNA from 1 species
GACACUUUGGCCGAGUGGUUAAGGCGUUAGCCUGC